CAGUCGCCGCGGUAAGACAGAGGAUGCAAGCGUUCUCCGGAAUCACUGGGCGUAAAGCGAGCGCAGGCGGUUAGAUAGGUCUGAAGUUAAAGGCUGUGGCUUAACCAUAGUACGCUUUGGAAACUGUUUAACUUGAGUGCAAGAGGGGAGAGUGGAAUUCCAUGUGUAGCGGUGAAAUGCGUAGAUAUAUGGAGGAACACCGGUGGCGAAGGCGGCUUACUGGACGACAACUGACGUUGAGGCUCGAAGGCGUGGGUAGCAAACAGGAUUAGAUACCCCAGUAGUCCCUGUCUCUUAUACA
rnacentral:rRNA from 1 species